AUUGAACGCUGGCGGCAGGCUUAACACAUGCAAGUCGAGCGGAGAUGAGGUGCUUGCACCUUAUCUUAGCGGCGGACGGGUGAGUAAUGCUUAGGAAUCUGCCUAUUAGUGGGGGACAACAUUCCGAAAGGAAUGCUAAUACCGCAUACGUCCUACGGGAGAAAGCAGGGGACCUUCGGGCCUUGCGCUAAUAGAUGAGCCUAAGUCGGAGUAGCUAGUUGGUGGGGUAAAGGCCUACCAAGGCGACGAUCUGUAGCGGGUCGGAGAGGAUGAUCCGCCACACUGGGACUGAGACACGGCCCAGACUCCUACGGGAGGCAGCAGUGGGGAAUAUUGGACAAUGGGCGGAAGCCUGAUCCAGCCAUGCCGCGUGUGUGAAGAAGGCCUUUUGGUUGUAAAGCACUUUAAGCGAGGAGGAGGCUACUUAGAUUAAUACUCUAGGAUAGUGGACGUUACUCGCAGAAUAAGCACCGGCUAACUCUGUGCCAGCCGCCGCCGUAAAAC
rnacentral:rRNA from 1 species